UACAGAGGUCUCAAGCGUUUGUUCGGAUUCAUUGGGCGUAAAGGGUGCGUAGGCGGCGCGGUAAGUCGGGUGUGAAAUCUCGGAGCUUAACUUCGAAACUGCAUUCGAUACUGCCGUGCUUGAGGACUGGAGAGGAGACUGGAAUUUACGGUGUAGCGGUGAAAUGCGUAGAUAUCGUAAGGAAGACCAGUGGCGAAGGCGGGUCUCUGGACAGUUCCUGACGCUGAGGCACGAAGGUCAGGGGGAGCAAACGGG
rnacentral:rRNA from 1 species